AGGAAUGGACGUCGGCCCCAGCCGGCGUUUCAGCGCCGUCCACCUGCUUCAAGAGGACCUGCUCCUGCCGCAGCCUCUGUGCUGCACUCUGCUGCUGUGCCGGGUGACCAACCCGCACCUGCUCUUCAAGAAGCUACAAGAGUCGUCUCUACCUCGUCUGGUUGUGGUUUCUGCAGAAAACCACACCCCACAGAUAAGUGUCCUAAGAACUCCUGCUUUGGCUGGGUCGUCUCUGGUGCAGUGACCGAUGCGCAGUGCAGCGCCAGCCUGGUCUCCUGUCGCCUCCUCUGUCUGGGCGACCUGAGGGACACAGAGACCAGCUGUACGAGUCUGACCUCUGGUUCGGCGGACCUGCAUGGCUAAGGGCGCCACGAGUCUCGCCCGUCGACUGCAGGUUGUUUGUGACAACCGAGGAGCUGGCCGAGUCGGACACGGGCGAACGGGAGACCGCCACUGGUGAGCCGAAGUGCUCUGGUGAGCGCUUGCCAGGUCAGUGUGACGUGAUUGGCGCGGAGUCGUCACCGGCGGUGGCUCUUACUCUGGAGUCUCGCCCCGACUCGCCUACUUGCGGGAAUGUGUUCACUGUUGAGCGAUGGAGCACGUUGACGAAGGCCGUACGGGUAGCGGCGUGGGCGAGGCGUUUUGUGUGGAACGCGCGCCACCCUGACAGCCGCAACCUGUCACCUGAACUUUCGUACCGAGAGCUGUGUGU
rnacentral:misc_RNA from 1 species